CUCAGAAAGAAACAACAGGGAGUUAAGCUUUUUGAAACCUUGAAUGUUCAUUUGCCUGCACUAUUUCCUUCACUAUUCAUUUCAAUGAUGUGAAGCAGAUGAUGCUGAAGUGUAAUCCUCAGGAUUUUGCCCCUGCUGGAAGUAUAGAACAGAGUUUUCAACAGACUGACGCUCCCUUAAAGUUCAUUUUAGUCGAGUAAGUCAUCUGAAUCAUAACUGGAAAUGCGUCUAAGCUACUGCCCAUAUCUCUGUGAUAUACUUCAAAAUAACCUUGGUUUGAAUUAAGCUUGCAGAUAAAUGAUCCUUGACUAACAUAGAUCUCAAAAGUAUGAAAAGCUUUUGCUUGGGAAUGCCUGCAUGAAGAGACUAUGAAGGACAAAAAUAUCUUAAUAUGGAGCAGAAAUCUUAAAGGAAGAAAUCCAUGGUUAAGAAGACAACUUGUCACUAUUCUCUAAAAUUUGAGCAUUUAAAUG
rnacentral:lncRNA from 1 species